rnacentral:rRNA from 1 species
ACGAACGCUGGCGGCACGCUUAACACAUGCAAGUCGAACGAGAGAAGAGGAGCUUGCUUUUCUGAUCUAGUGGCGGACGGGUGAGUAACACGUGAGCAAUCUGCCUUUCAGAGGGGGAUACCGAUUGGAAACGAUCGUUAAUACCGCAUAACAUAAUUGAACCGCAUGAUUUGAUUAUCAAAGAUUUAUCGCUGAAAGAUGAGCUCGCGUCUGAUUAGCUAGUUGGUAAGGUAACGGCUUACCAAGGCGACGAUCAGUAGCCGGACUGAGAGGUUGAUCGGCCACAUUGGGACUGAGACACGGCCCAGACUCCUACGGGAGGCAGCAGUGGGGAAUAUUGCACAAUGGAGGAAACUCUGAUGCAGCGAUGCCGCGUGAGGGAAGAAGGUUUUAGGAUUGUAAACCUCUGUCUUCAGGGACGAAAAAUGACGGUACCUGAGGAGGAAGCUCCGGCUAACUACGUGCCAGCAGCCGCGGUAAUACGUAGGGAGCGAGCGUUGUCCGGAAUUACUGGGUGUAAAGGGAGCGUAGGCGGGAUCGCAAGUCAGAUGUGAAAACUAUGGGCUUAACCCAUAAACUGCAUUUGAAACUGUGGUUCUUGAGUGAAGUAGAGGUAAGCGGAAUUCCUAGUGUAGCGGUGAAAUGCGUAGAUAUUAGGAGGAACAUCAGUGGCGAAGGCGGCUUACUGGGCUUUAACUGACGCUGAGGCUCGAAAGCGUGGGGAGCAAACAGGAUUAGAUACCCUGGUAGUCCACGUCGUAAACGAUGAUUACUAGGUGUGGGGGGACUGACCCCUUCCGUGCCGCAGCAAACGCAAUAAGUAAUCCACCUGGGGAGUACGACCGCAAGGUUGAAACUCAAAGGAAUUGACGGGGGCCCGCACAAGCAGUGGAGUAUGUGGAUUAAUUCGAAGCAACGCGAAGAACCUUACCAGGUCUUGACAUCGUAUGCAUAGCUCAGAGAUGAGUGAAAUCUCUUCGGAGACAUAUAGACAGGUGGUGCAUGGUUGUCGUCAGCUCGUGUCGUGAGAUGUUGGGUUAAGUCCCGCAACGAGCGCAACCCUUACUGUUAGUUGCUACGCAAGAGCACUCUAGCAGGACUGCCGUUGACAAAACGGAGGAAGGUGGGGAUGACGUCAAAUCAUCAUGCCCCUUAUGACCUGGGCCUCACACGUACUACAAUGGCUGUCAACAGAGGGAAGCAAAGCCGCGAGGUGGAGCAAACCCCUAAAAGCAGUCUUAGUUCGGAUUGUAGGCUGCAACCCGCCUACAUGAAGUCGGAAUUGCUAGUAAUCGCAGAUCAGCAUGCUGCGGUGAAUACGUUCCCGGGCCUUGUACACACCGCCCGUCACGCCAUGGGAGUCGGUAACACCCGAAGCCUGUAGUCUAACCGCAAGGAGGACGCAGUCGAAGGUGGGAUUGAUGACUGGGGUG